CAGCCCCAGAAUUCGUUGCUGAAACCGUUGACAUCCUCGAAUUGGGAUCGGCGGACGGCCAGGACUCCUCCAGCGUAGCCUUUGUGGCCAUUUGAAGGGCGAAUCGGCGGUCUUCGUGGCACUUGUAAACGGCGAAAUUGGUCUCGGGUAGCGUGUCGACGUCGUGCAAGAUGAAGCAAUCCAAAUCGGGAUGGAUUCUUAAGGCUUCGAUGACACCUGCGUUGAGUAAUUUCCCGCGGUUGAAAAGAUCCCCGUCUAAAACAGGAGUUUAGAAGAAUUGGGAUUUCUCUUGAAAUGUUUUAUGUGACGUAAUAUCUUACCUGCUUGUUCGACGACGAAAAUUGUGUAAUGACGCCAUUGGGAGACUAAGACUUGGUGGAGAUGCCUCAAGAAAAUCGGCAGUUGAUGCCAACGUCUUUUCAUGGGGACAAAGAUCCCGAGGCGUUGUCGUGGAUGACAGUGUUCCGGAUGCCAGUGCCCGCCCAUCUGGAUGUGUGGAAACAACUCGUUCAACUCUUCAUCCGUCGGUAGGGUCGUGUUGAUCACCAAACGGACUGUGAAACGUAUUUUCAAAAUUGAAUCGAAUUUACUCUGAUUCAAAUCGCCAAAAGAGAAAAUGGAAAUUUAAUAAAAACAAA